AUGUGUUCUUGGCCAAGAAUUUUAGCCUCUCUGAAUCUCAGUUUCCUCAUCUAGAAAAUGGGGAUAAUACUACUUAUCUCUGACAGUUUGAAACAAAGUAAGUAACCCUUAAUACAAAAGCCUGGAACUAGGUCAGCACGCAAAAGAUGAACACUGUUGUGAUGAGAAAUGCUAUGGCCUUAAAGGCCAGCCCCACUGAGCCAGGCGCUCAAUGUAUUAUGGGACUGAGAAGCUUCUUUGGGAAGUAAGUCACAUGGUCUCUGGAAGUCUUAGGGUCACUAGAUAACAAUGAAUGCCCCAAAGAGUAGUAAUCAGGCCAAUGGCACAUGGCAUUUUAGUAGCUAACGUCUCCGAUAAUAACCCAUAUUUAGAAUUCAGUGAUAAAUACCAAAUGUUCAACUCCACAGCCAGGUUUUUUCACCCUCCCCUCCCCGCCGCCCCACCGCCAGUAAUUUACUCCUCUGGCUAAAUCCGUACCAGAAAGACAUCAGAUGAUGGGGGUGGGGGGAGAUUAAAAAACAAACUCUUAUCUAAGAGUGAAGGAGUCUCUCUAAUUAAGAAACACAUAAUGAAAAAAUAUAUGGAAUCUAAAAGAAAAAAAAAACAAAAAAGCAAAUAAUCCCCACUAAGAAGCAGAUAAGAAUGAAUAACAGGCAUCCACAUGACUAAACUCACUCUGCUCUGAAGAGGAAGAACAAGGGAUAGAGGAAACACUUUCCCUUAGAAGCGAUGCAAGUCCAAAACAUCAGAUUAUGAUUGAGGUUUAUUUCCUGAUAGGAUUAAAGGUAGAUUGGUUGUCAAAUUCAAAACAUACUCCUUUUUAUCUGAAGAUGCAACCGGGGGAUGUGUUGCCUUUUCUCAGUCUGUUUGCAAAUUGAUUACUCAUGAAAGUUAUCGCGUCCAACCCUGGAGACAGGGUGUCCCUCCGUUCUCAGGCAGAGGAGAGUGGCGGCAGCUGUCACUCCAGUCUUGAAGGGACCAUCCUUCUUCCAGAGUGAUCUUUCCUGAUUUCACUUUUGAGGCUGUUGGGAAGGAGGUCAUUGACUGCUUUUCUGACCCACCCAGGGGAGAAGUGCUUGGACUGUUUUCCUACCCUGGGGCAGCCCUGUCAGACUAGCCAAGCUCACGAUUUCUGCUGCAUCCGUUAGGCCCAUGAAGAGACCAUUCAAGGCCCCUUCUGUUCUGUUCUUUACCUCUGAUUCUACAGCCAUAAUUUCUCUGCCAUAUCUUCCUGCCUGGGCACCCCCUUCCACAAUGCUUGGGUUAUUUGCCUCUUUGCUCUUAGCCCUGUCUCUUCCUUCCAGCUCUGCAUGGCAGGAGACAAGCCCCUGCACAUUAUUUCCCAGCUGUCUUUGCCAACUGGCUUCAGGCGAGGUUUGGCCAGUUGGAGGUACUCAGGGAGAUUAGAGAGAAGCAGGUUGUGUUCAUUUCUUAGGACUGCCAUAUCCUGGUACCACAGACUGGGUGGCUUAAAACAACAGGAAUGUAUGCUGUCUGUUCUGGAGGCUGGAAAUCUGAAAUCAAGGAGUAGGCAGGGCCGAGCUCCCUCUGAAGGCUCCCAUGAAGAAUCCUGCCAUGUCUCAUCCUAGCUGCUGGUGGCAGGCACCUGCAAUCCUUGGGGCUCAUUGGCUUGUAGCUGCAUCACUCCAAUCUCUGCCUCCAUCUGCACAUGGCCUUUACCCUAUGUGUCUGUGUCCUCUCCUCUUCUUAUAAGGACACCAGUAAUUAGAUUUAGGGUGCACCCUAAAUCCAGAAUGAUUUCAUGCUGAGAUCUUUAACUGAUAACAUCUGCAAAGACUCUACUCCCAAAUAAGGUCACAUUCUAAGUUUCCAGGGGAAUAUGAAUUUUGAGGGAGCCUAUUCAACCUACUCUAUGUUUAAGGAAAUAAGGAGGGGUAUUUCUUGCCUUCUCUGUAGUUCAGGUAGCCUUUUCAGCAGCUGUCAUCAGACACAUCCACUACAGUUCCAGCUGAUACCAGGUGACCCUACACCUUCUGCCUUUGUUCUUCUAGCCCCAGGAGUGGCAAUUGCUAAUCUUAGUGCUUCCUCAUCUUCCUGUGAUUGUUUGUCCAGCUCCAACAUCUUUAUAAGCAUAUGCUAUAUUAAAUUUCCUCUAUUAAAUUAUGAGGUGUGGGUUUUGUUUUCCUGGGUGGACUCUGAUUGACAUACAUAGUUUAUAAGAAAUUAGACAAUAUGUGCAAGAUGAAGGACUUUGGGUGUCUGGGAGCCUCGUGUGUUGUGGCUAGGUAUGCAAAUUCAGCUGCGGUUCAAACUCCAGCUACUUAAUAAGGGGGUGACCUUGGGCAAGUGACUUAAUCUCUUGGUGUUUCAGUCUCCCCAUCGGCAAGAUUGGUAUAACAAUAGUAACUAACUAGUGGGGUAACUAGCAGAAACAAGCACAUUUAUUUGAGGUAUUUACCUAGGUUCUGGCUUAUGGAAAGUGCUCUAUACAUGUUUAAUAUGAUUGGACUAUUACCAAGAGGGGGGCAGGGGUUUCACAGAAGACACUUUAAAACUUGGCACGACCUACUUGUUAAAAUUGUAUAGAUAUUCCCCGCCGUGUGUGUGUGUUUGUGUGUGUGUGUGUGUGUGUAUGUAUGUACAGUUGGCCCUUCUUAUCUGGGGGUUCCACGUCUGUGGAUUCAACCAACCACAGGUCAAAAAUAUUGAAAAAAUAAUGGAUGGUUGUGUCAAUACUGAAUAUGUACAGACUUUUUUUCUUGUCAUUAGUUCCUAAACAAUGCAGUAUAACAACUACUUAUUUAGCAUUUACAUUGUAUUAGGUAUUAUAAGUAAUCUGGAGAUGAUUUAAAAUAUAUGAGCAAAAGUACAAAGGCUAUGUGCAAAUACACGAUUUUAUAUGGGGGAUUAUGGUGUCUGUGGGUCCUACAACCAAUCCCCUAUGGAUGCUGAGGAACAACUCUAUGUAUCUCUGUAUAUAUAGAGAGAAAUGUAAAUAUACACACACACAUAACCUGAAAAUUAGAUUUUGAUGAUACAAUGGAUGUCUAAAAAAUAUUGGUCACUCUGUCUAUGGUAUAUAUAACUUGUCCUGACCAUUGGGCUAUUGCCUCAAAUAUCCCAUCUGUGGGUUCUAGCAGCAUCUCUAAAUUCUAAGGCACAGUAGUUAGAGGUUUACAAAAGAAAGAGGAAUCAUCUGCCUGGAAAUACACCACAAUCAUUAACAAACAUCUGCGGAGUGCUGUGUGUCACCUAGAGAGGUACAAGCAAAUUUAUGGUAAGUUUUAAAGAUUCUUAUUGACGAAUUAUUGUCCUUCAGUUCAGCCAAGGCACUAAAAAUGAAGGCCAGUGGCCCAGAAUUACUCUAAAUGGCCUCAGACAUUGACUGUCUAUUGUCUGUCACUAUAUUAGUCAGGAUUCUUUAGAGAAACAGUACCAAUGGGGUAUGUAUAUGUACGUAUGCAUGUAUGUACAUAUUUAUUUUAAGAAAUUGGCUCAUGUGAUUUUAUGGGUUACCAAGUCCCAAAAUCCAUAGUUUCCACAGGCUGGAAGCUGUCAAUAGUACCAAAUUCUAUAUAUACCAUUUUUUUUAACCUAUAUGUAGAUACCUAUAAUAAAGUUUAAGGUACAACAGCAAAAAUAGCAAGAAUUUCUUUAUCUUUCUUCACAAUUUCACAGGUAGAAGAUUCAUUCUUACCGUAGAUCUUAGUCACUUCAGGACUCUUUUUCUUCAUUAAGUCGAGAACUUUUACCUUUCACUUACAAGAAAUACUUUAUGGCCUCUCUCUGACAUAUCUGAAUGGCCAGCAUCACUACUCUUACAUUUUGGGACCAUUAUUAAUUAAAGUAAUGGUUACUUGAACACCUGGAAUGCCAUACUGCGACAGUCGAUCUGAUAACCAAGCAGGCUACUCAGGGACUAAUGGGUGGAUAGUGUAGAUAGUGUGUAUCCAGGCUACUCAGGGACUAAUGGGUGGAUAGUGUAGAUAGUGUGUAUCCAGGCUACUCAGGGACUAAUGGGUGGAUAGUGUAGAUAGUGUGUAUCCAUUGAACAAAGGGAUGAUUCAUGUUCCAGGCGGGACAAAGGACAGUGUGGGGUUUCAUCACGCUACUCAGAAUGGCAAUUUGAAACUUAUGAAUAGUUUAUUUCUAGAAUUUUCUCUUUAAUAUUUUCUGACUGUAGUUGACCAUAGGUAACCGAAACUGCAGGAAACAAAACCAUAGGUAAGAAAGACCUGCAGCAACUAAUAUUACGCCCUAGCUAAGUUGACAAUUAAAAUUAACUAUUAGUGUGCUCCCCACUAGACUAUAAACAAUUAGAGGGCUGGGCUGUAUCCUGUGAGUUUAUUUUAUUUAUCUUUCAAGUUACCAAGCAAUAGGUCUGAUGUUUGUGGAAGGAAUGAAUGCUUGAAAAUAGGGAUGCGGUAGGAUGGAAAACAAAUGGACCAGAUCUUGCUUUAUCCAUUUCAUAACUGUAGUAACCUGGGGCACAUUAUUCAAGCAUGUAUCACAUAGUAUUUAUCAGGCACCUUCUAUAUGCUCAGGAAGGAGAGUGGCACUCGGGAUGCAAUGGUGAACACAGCAGUUGCAGCUCCCUCCCCUGAGGCUCCCUGUUGGAGGGAGAGACAGGUGAUAAACAAGGAUUCCAAACUGGAUGCACAUAAUAAAGAAGGGCAAAGCGUGUCAGGAAGGGCUGCCUGAGGAAUCGAUAUUUAAGUUGAGACAUACAAAGAUGAAUUAGGAGUCAGCCAGGUGAAAGAGAAGAUUCCUAAGAUAGAGGUAGGGAGGGUAUCUCAGGCAGAGGAAAUAUACGUGUGAAUGCAAGAGAACAGGGCAUUGGAAACCACCACAUCGUGGAAAGAGAGUAUGAGGGAGGGGCUGAGAGCCUGAGCUGCAGUGGACAGGCAGGCAGGGAUCCGGUUAAAUCAAAGCCUCACUUUCUGCCCCAUAGAGGAGCUGAGAGGCACAGAUGAUGUAGGCAAAAACAUUCUGUGUGUGAUAAACCCUCUGCAAAUGCCAUUAGGGUUUACAUUAAACUGAAAUGUGUCAAACGCAAUAUUGCUCUUUCAUCCGUGUUUCCUGAACAUGAGAAAAGCAUCAGCAUUUUGAUGUGUUUGGUGAAACAAAGCACCAAAUAUCCCAAAAGGCAAACAAUGGCUGCUUGGAGACUGACCCCCAGCAUAGGAACCCUUUGCAAUUAUCCAUCCUUGCCUCACUGGAAAUAUACAGCUUUUAUAGCAUAUUGGUUAUUCUUCCCAGGGACCUGAGAGACUAGGUACUUACGGUAAGGUAAUAUUUAAACACUAACAUUUAUAAAUGCAGCUUUAUAAUUGCAAUACUGCAAAUAAGGGAAUUUGGAUAUGUUCCUUGAGAGCUGUCAGUGACAGUUUCCAAGGAACAUGACUAUCUUGUUCAUGCAGUUAUAAUCCCUUCUGAACAUUGACUGAAUGGUUACACCUGCCUCCUGCCCUGGGAUAAGUACCCGCAAGACUGUUAAAGACAGCUGUGUGCUGGGGUUUGGGGCUGUGUCCCUAAGGCUGCUGUUUGGGAGGAUUUCGGGGCUGCUGAUCAGUGUGGGGAUGUGGUCUUCUCUCUCUUGGUUCUGGGCAUGCCAAGUGUGGCUGCAUUUAGAACAGCUGUCUUCUUGGCUGCUUUCUUGGGAGCUUCUACCAGGCAACAGCUCUCCAGCUCUGCUCUGACGCAAAGGAAAGGAAAGAUUUCUCAAUAAUGCAGCACUCAGCUGCUCAAUUGCUCCCCAGCCAUUCCAUCACUGUGCGCUUGUAUCUGCAGCCCUCUCCCCUCCCAGGGAUAGAAGGGAGUUUGGUGAAAAGUAAGAUUCAUGUUGAUGAUGCCAGCACUGUAUGAAAAUGGAGUUGGCAGAGGUUGUGGUUCAAUUAUUCAUUCACUAAUUCAUUCAUUCAACACCUACUUACUGAAUGUGUACUACGUGCUCUUUAUUUGUUCUAGGUGCUGGGGGUGCUAUAAGCAGGAAAAAAGAAAAUCACUGCUCUUAAGGGAACUGCAUUUUAAUGAAGGAGUCAGAUAAUAAAUAAAUUAAAUAAACAAAAGAUAUAUACUAUGUCAGGUAGUGAUAAGUACCAAAGAGAAAAGGUAACGUAGGGAAGAGGGAUAUGAAAUGUUGGAGUUGGGAGGGUUGAAAAUGUGGAUACCUUGGCUAAAGCCACUGAGAUAGAAAGAAUAGUGGCUCUGCAGAGAUAUCCACAUUCUAAUGGUUCGAAAUUGUGACUACAGCAGGUUCCAUGGCAUAGGGAAUUACAGCCGCUAAUCAACUGCCCUUGAGAUCCAGAGAGGAGCCUGAAUUGUCCAGGUGGUCCCAAUAUAAUGACAAGGGUACUGUUAUCGUUAAUUUUUGGUGUCAACUUGACUGGAUUAAGGGAUACCUAAAAUCCUGGUAAAGUGGUAUUUCUGGGUAUGUCCGAGAGGUUGUUUCCAGAGGAGAAUGGUGUGUGAGUUAGUGGACUCAGUGGGGAAGAUCUGCUGUCAAUGUGAGCAGACACCACACAAUCAGCUGGGGGCCCAGAUAGAACAAAAAGGCAGAGAAAGGUGAAUUCUCUCUCGCUUUUCUGGAGCUGGGACACCCUUCUUCUCCUGCCUUUGGACAUCAGAACUUCAGGUUCUCUGGCCUUUGGAUUCUAGCACUAGGCAGUGCUCCCCCGACCCCCACCUCUCAGGUUCUCAGACCUUCGGUCUGGGAGUGAGAAUUACCCCCUUGGCUUCCCUGGCUCUGUAGCUUUGAGACUUGCCAUGAGUCACAUUACCAGCUUCCCUGGGGCUGAAGAUUGCAGAUAUCUACUGCAGAACUCCUCAGCCUCUGUCAUCACAUGAGCCAAUGCACCUAAUGAAUUCUCUCUCAUCUAUCUGUCUAUCAUCUAUCAUCUAUAUAUCCAUCCAUCCUGUUGGUGAACCCUGACUAACAUGGGUAUUUAUAAGUGGAAGAAGGAUUCAGAAGGUAGAAUCAGAAAGAUGGCAGCAUGAGAAGGACUUGGCCUGACAUUGUGUCUUUGAAAAUAAAAGGGUGCCAGGAGCCAAGGAAUGUGUACACCUCUAGAAGCUGGGAAAGACAAGGAAACAGAUUCUCCCUGAGAGCCUCCAGAGAGGAAUAUAAUCCUGCCAACACCUUGACUUCAGUGCAAUGAGAUCUGUCUCAGACUUCUGAUCUACCGCAAGAUCAAUUAUGUUGUUCCCAGCCACUAAGUUUGUAGUAAUGUGUCUUAGCAGCAAUAGAAAACCAAUAUAAGCAUCCAAACGGCAACUUCUAAGUGAAGAACUCUGAUAUAGUUGCCAUAUUUAGCAAAUAAAACUACAAGAUGUCCAGCUAAAUCUGAAUUUCAGAUAAUAAACAAUAACUUAUUAAAGUAAUACAUUAUUAAUAACUUAUUUAUUAUUUAUCUGUUCUCGAAUGUAACUGGGCAUCUUGUAUUUUAUCUGGCACCCCAAAUCUCAGAGAAAGUUAGACAGCGAGAUAUUUGGGGAACACAUUCCAGGCAGAGGGACAGCAUUUCUGCUGGGGCAGAAUUCUCAGGAGCAGAGGGAAGAGCAAGAGUGAAGACUUGAGUUCUUUGAGAAACUUCUAGGAGGGAAGUGCAGCUGGAGUGAAGAGAAUGAGGGAAACAGCAGGAGAAGAUGAGUUCAGAGAGAUUGUGGGGAACUAUUAGGUUAGUGCAAAAGUAAUUGAGGUUUUUACAAUGCGAUGCCACCUUACUCCCGGAAGAAUGGCCAUAAUCAAAAAAAUAAAAAAAAAAUAGAUGUUGGCGUGGAUGCGGUUGAAAAGGGAACACUUUUACACUGCUGGUGGGAAUGUAAACUAGUAAAAUCACUAUGGAAGACAGUAUGGAAAUUCCUUAAAGAACUAAAAGUAGAACCACCAUUUGAUCUAGCAGUCCCAUGUACCCAGAGGAAAGUAAGUCAUUAUAUGAAAAAGACACUUGGACACGCAUGUUUAGACCAGCACAAUUUGCAAUUGCGAAAAUGUGGAACCAGCCCACAUGCCCAUCAAUCAGAGUGGAUAAAGAACUGUGGUAUAUAGUCAAACCCAAAAAGCAGAAAUGGUGACUAUAUUUAAUAAUACUAUAUUGUAUACUUUAAAUUUACAAGAGGGUAGAUCUUAAGUCUUCUUACCUCACACACACAAAAUGAUUAACUAUGUGAGGUAAUGAAUAUGUUAAUUAUCUUUAUUUCAGUAAUCAUUUCACUAUAAAUAUAUCAAAGCAUCAAGUUGUGUACUUAAACAUAUCCAAUUUUUGUCAUGUAUACCUUAAUAAAGCUGGGAGGAAAAGUGAAAAAAAAGAAACUGUGGUGUAUAUAUAUACAUGUAAUAUAUAUAUAUAUACACUACUUAGCCAUAAAAAAGAAUGAGUUAAUGGCAUUAGCAACAACCUGGAUGGGACUGGAGGCUAUUAUCCUAAGUUAAGUAACUUGGGAAUGGAAAACCAAAUAUUGUAUGUUCUCACUCGUAAGUGGGAGCUAAGCUAUGAGGAUGCAAAGGCAUAAGAAUGAUACAAUGGACUUUGGGGACUCAGGGCGAAAGGGAGGGAAGCGGGUGAGAGGUUAAAGACUACAAACUGGGUUCAGUGUAUACUGCUUAGGUGUAGGUACACCAAAAUCUCACAAAUCACCAGUAAAAAUUUUACUCAUGUAACCAAAUACCACCCGUUCUUCAAAAACCUAUGGAAAUAAAAAAUAUUUUAAAUAAGGUAAUUGAGGUUUUUGUCAUUAAAGGCAAUGGCAAAAACCGCAAUCAUUUUUGCACCAACCUAAUGGAUUACAAACAUCAUAAUGAGGAUGUUGGCCUUUGGUCUGAGAGAGUUGGCUGACAUUGGAGGAUUUUGAAUAGAGGUAGACCAGUAUUUGGGGCCUCCUGAGAAUGGAGAGAGGCUGACGGUAAGCAACCUGAGGGCAGGGCCUUCGGCCAGCCUUGCUGAAGAGGCGCACACAAGCUGGGAGGGCAGCAGGCCUUCAAAUUGGUAGACUUGUGCAGUGCCACCUGCCACCAGAACCAGUAAGGUAUAGAGAAGUGCCUGGUGGGAGAGCAGAAGAUGUUAAGAGGAAAAAAGUGAUUCAUGAGAAGAAAUCUGGUUUGUGAGCCAAUCGUAAGGGACGUGGGCGAAGAACAGACGUAUAGGGGCUUCAUGAGGCUGAAGACAUUAUGUUCAAAGCCCAGUUUCAUCAUUCUGGAACUCAGCAAGAGAGACACGUGUCAUGACACCUGUCUACUCAGUUAGUUCAGAGCAGCAGAGUCUACACCAAGAUCCCAAGAAGCCACACACAUUUCAAUCUUCAACCGUACCUGGAUUUUCUUGGAACAGUUGCCAGAAGAGAAAAAAUGAUGACUAUAAAACUCUUUUAGAAGCUUAAUAAAUCACUACCUCUAAUCAUUACCAGUACUUGGUGUUUACAGGGUACCAGGCACUGGGCUCAGUGCCUUACCCCCGGCACCAUUAACUAUACAGAUGAGGAAAGGGAAACCAGAGGGAAUGAGUAACGGGCCCAAGGAUGCAGCUUUUUGGGACUCAAUAGAUUUGUCCUCCUUGAACUUGGGCCCCAGACCGAAUCAAUUACCCCCAUCUUAGUUUUUAUGCCCAUGCUUGGGAAUGUAUCUCUAUCAUCCUGUGGUAUAAUGAGCUGAAUAUGUGUCUGCCUCCCUAAUGAGCCUGGGAUCCUAGUAGGCAAGCAGAGAAACAAAUUAAUGUUGAAUGAAUGAAUGAGGCAAACCACUGACAGGCCAGGUUGCAGGUGCAGCAGGGCCCAUGUCCCUUCAUCCUCAGCAGAAAUGGGUCGGAGCUGAGGACCCUGCCUUCUGCCACCACUUCUCCAGUGUCAUUUCAAUGUGCAUCACUUCUAAUUUCAUUGUGUGUUUUCCCACAGAGAGUAUUCAAAACUUUGAGAGGGAUCAGAGAUUGAAGCUUGUUUUUAUUUUUCCUCCACCUAUCUGCAUUUAAUCACAUAGGGAGCUUCUCUUCCUUGUCUUCUUCCUCGUGUCCUAUCUCAUUGUUUCCCUUUCAUUCUUCCAUGCUUUGAGAGCAUCCUUGUCCCCUGGGUCCUUUACGGAAGAUCUGUAUAUGGUGUUUGAAAAUCUGUUUCUGUUCUAGCCCGUAAAUUGAUGCAAUAUAUUGCGGCUUCAGCCUCCACUUUUUUUGGUUUCUGUGUGUGUAUGUGUAAAGUUUCAUGGUUGACAUCUGUCUGAUGCUGCCCAUUCAGGCAUUGAGUCUCUAGAUGUGAGAAAGAAUGUGUUCUUUAUGCCCUCUGGAGCAGUGAGAAGCUUGGGGUGAGCAUAUUCAUUGGAAAUGGCUGGUCUAAUUGACAGAAAUAACCCAGGUGCCUUCCAGUAAGAAAGGCAAGAAAACACAAUCACAAGUUCACUCUGGGCCACUACAUUUGAUGGAGUCUCGGUUUCCCAAAUUAUUUAUAAACCAGCAAGCAGAUAUCAUAAGACUCCUAAUAUUAUAGAACUUUGAAAGUUAGCAUACUCCUGGACAGUUUUACAGUAGGGACAGCUGAAGUUCAUUGGGUUUAAGAGGGUCUGCCUGACCUCGCACUGCUGCCUUGGUGUCAGCCUUGAAAUUGUGGCUGCUCUCCUUGUUCAAGGUCUUGUCCUUUUCACCAUGCCAUGACACAUGGUAACACUUUCCCCUUUUCAAAUAGGACAUUUGCUUUCAGUUGGGUCUAGUCUCAAACUUCCUUGCUAGCUCUUGGAAAGUUCUUGAAACCCAUAACUCUCCUAUGACAUUCAGGACUUUCUGUUUUCCAAUGCUGUUAUGUAUGGGCAAAUAUCAGUUUGCCCAGCAGCAGAAAGUAAGCUGCCCAAGGGCACACUGAAAGCAAAGUCUGUCACUAUGUCCCUCAUGAUCUGAGGCAGAACCUACUAUCUGAAAAAGGAUCUAGUUUAUUUCUGAUUCAAAAUACAUAUUCCUUUCUUCUGAAAACAUAAAAUAAGGGUUAACAUAUACCUCCCUUCUUCUGGAAUCUUUUGCACGAUACAGGCUUUCUUUGAGGUACAGAACCUUCCCAAAGUGACAGUUUCCCAUCUAUCCUCACAGAGACUCUCCUGAAGUUUGUUCUUUCUGAAAUAGAUUCACCUGAGCCAACACACAGCCUCCUAAAAUGCCAUCUACUAUUUUAGGGGGCUGGCACACAACUAGUUACUCUGUUACUCCAUCUAGACAGCAUCAUAGCUCUACGACUUGGGUAAUUUUAUCCUCAUUUUAGAGAUAAGCAACCUAAGGCUUACAGAGAUUUAAGUGACUCACCAUUCAUAAAUGAUCUCAUUUUGUCCUCCCAACAAGAUUAGGACUUAGAAUCCUUAUUUUCAGAGACCAUCAUUGGUGUUUUCUAGAGGGGUUAAGUGCUUUGCCCCAGACCCAUAGCUAGAAAGUAGUGGAACCAGGUUUCAGUGUAACUUCUUUUGACCCAUACCCAGGAAGGUGCUCAGCAAACAGCAGGUGCUCCAUAAACACCUAUUGAACAAAUGGAUGAUUCUGCAGCCCAAGUUCUUCCCACUACGCUCUACUAUUACAAAACUGUUAUCCCUCUGUCUGGUACACAGUUCUGAUACCAAGGCUGAUUAAACAGCAUGUUGCCAAGUCCUCUUUUCUCAGGCCACUUUGGGCUGUCCCAGUUCCUCUGGUACUUCCCUGUCACCCUUGCUCCCAGCAGUAUCUUUCAGAAACAGGAAACAACAAUUUCUCAUUCUACCAUCUCUCUUCACAAUCAUGUGUGAAGGUGAAGAAUGACAUUUCCUUCCUCUUAAUUCCUCCAAAAGGCAAACAACAUAUUAUUCAGGAGUUCUGCAUCAAAUCCCAACACCUGAUACGCCUGAUAGGCAAACCAUUCACUUUCUCUAUUUGUGCAGCCAUAGGACCUUAUCACUAUUGCUGUUCUUCCUUUUGAUGAUGAAACACAUCCUCUAUCACUCUUCACCUGUGUCCCUGGCAACUCCCUCAGGUUCACAUGGCUUCUCAAACCUUAAUUGUCUUGUUCAAGUUCUUGUGGGUCCAAAAUAAAUCAUGGAUUUAGAGAAAUUAUCACUGUGUCAUUCAUGCUUGAGUGCUGGCAUGGCUAAAUAGAUAGAUAGACACCUUCAAACCAGGGAUAUGGUUUAGGAAAACCUUACAGUUAGAAUAAAUUUUGUCUAGGAAUGUUCUGUCCAAAAGCACCCAAAGUAAUAUAUUUUUUCCAGACAUUGUGUAAGGAAAUAUGCCCACCCAUAGUUUUUCCAUGGAUGCUUUGCAGUUCAAACAGAUGGAGGAAGGUAGCAGAGGACCUGAGAUGAGGGAACACAGUUUCAUUUAAGGAUAAAACCCUCUAAUAAAAGGCUUUUUCUGAGGUUUCAUUCUAGCUUAGCAUGAUCAUUUUGUGUACUAAAAAUAAACAGAGAUUAUGCAUAGCUAGGAUUUGGGCCGGGGGAGGGAAUCAGCCUCUCUCUUCACCCUUCUCUUUCCACUUACUCCCUUUGAGUUUUUUUCUUUUAAUUUUAGGUAUGCCAAAAAAGUAAGGUUUUCAGGAGUGUAACAAUUAUGGAUUUUAGGCACCACAAUGUUUUCUUCGGGUCCACACAAACACACACACAUAUACCCUUCCAUAUUUCCUUACCAUGGCUAAAGCACAAAUGCAGUAUUUUUCACAGAACUGAUGCUAUUUUUAGACUGAAUUGUAGGAAGUCUGCAGCAUUAAUAAAUAGACAAGAAGCACAGAGCCAUUGCGCAUGGUGAUAUGCCAAUGCAAAAGCUAGCUUGGCCUUUAACCAAUGAACUGUGGUUAGAUGUUGCAACAACAAAAGUAAAAGCACCGCUUACAAAGGAAUGAUUAAUAAGCUGACAAACUUCAGGCAUUUAUUUCCUAUUCUUUCGUGCCAGCUAUAUUAACACUAGCAUAUUUUCAACUUUAUUAGUAAAGUCUUAGAGUCUGGUACUCUUAGGUGUGGUCACGAAGAGCUUCUUAAAUCAGCUGCAAAUUAUUUGGAGAGGUAAAUACUUGAUAAAUGUUGCUUUUUUCCCCCAUUACCCUAAUAGACCAUGUCUGUUUAUUUGUCUCCAUGACACCUUGCUCCGAAUAAUAACCAUUAUGGUUCCCCAAACCCAAUGCUGCAGGAAAUCAUCUACUGUGGUAUUAGCAUCUUGUGGUAACUGAUCCAUGCCCCUUGUUGUGGGACUUCUUCGGUCAUAUUUGCUUCAAGGAAUUUCUAUCCCUCCCUGUGGCAAAUGUUCUCUGUGUGCCAGUCUGACAUUCCUAGCAUAGGAACCACUUUCUAGAAAGGGAGCCAGUCAACAGACUCCAAUAUCCUGUCUAUAAUAAACUCAACAUCUCAAUCAGCUGAAAAGAUGGAGUAAAAUGAGGAGUUAGGGGAUGGAAUUAGUGUGACCAACUUGCUUCAGUUUGCUUGGGACUGUCCCAGAUUUUAAAACUAGAAGUUCCAGAUCCCAGGAAACCUCUCAGUCCCAUUCAGUGGGUUGGCUUGUUACCCUAGAUGGAAGAGUCACUGGCCUGAGCCUGAAGGAAACUAGGAAGGGACUUGGCUUUAGAGACAGACCCAGGUUCAAAUCCCAGCCAGGUCCUACCAGCUGUGUGACUCUCCUCAAGCCUCGGUGCUAUCAACAUGUGAUUAACCUCUAGUCUGAGGUUAAGGAUCCCACUUCUAAAGUUAAAAAACCAUUCAUGUCUGCAAAAAUGGAAAUAAUAAUAGCUACCUCAUGGAUCUGAGGAUACAAAGCAAAAUCACAUCUGCAAGUAUCUACACAUACAAGAAAUCGCAAACUUCAGAGCCCUGGUUGCUGAGUUCCAAAGUGGAUUAAGAUGGACUUAAGUGGGUCCUAAAAAAGCAAUGACAAAUGACACAAUGAAAUUGUAUCCUGGAUGGUGUGUCCCUGCAUUUGACUCUGAACAUGGUUUUAUUUUUGUCUAUAAAGCUGAGACUUCUCUCAAGAAAGCAAGACUGUGACAGAGAAGGGCAGCUCCUUCACCAUAUCCCUAACGUUACCAGACACCUUGUCUGAGGGACGUCACCCUGGCUGAACAAAUGGUUGCUUAUGUAAAAGACCUGCCCUCCAGUAAAAUUCCAUUUUGGGGUUGCAUAAAAACAACAAUUCCUGGAAAGGUGAAAUUUUUAAUUAAAUGUAUUCAAAGGGAAUACAGAUUAAUGCCUCUAAGCAAGAGAGUAUUUAAUGCUUCCAGGCCAGUUCAUGCCUACCGAAGUAAAAAUCUUCAUGCCAGUGAGGCUUUUAAGUAUUGAUAUUUCCUGCAUUAAUAAUACUCUAAACCACAUUCAUAAUAAUAUAAUUAGCAAUACAAUUCAUACCAUACAGCAUGUGAGGACUCUGCAUUAAUUACAGCAGCAUAGCCUUUGUGUGGAAUGCCACGAUCUGAUUUUAGCUCUCAAGGUAAAUGAUCAUAAACUUGGGGGGCAGGGGUGUCCAGCAGAAUGAUGCACCAUGCACAACUCACGUUCCUCUGAUGAUCACAAAAUAACAACAAAUAUUCUGUGCACAGUGCCUGCAGGGAGGAAACCCAUUUUAAAGUCCAAGCUUGAGUGAAUUUGGCUGUGCUUCCAAAUUUUGUAUGUAGCAAAAUGUGAUUAAUAUCCUCGAUGUUCUCAUUUUAUCUCAGCCUCCAUCCUAAACCCAUGGAGUAUCAUGAUACUUUUAUGUUGAUGAACAAGAUGGCUUAGUAGGGGUUUUAGAAACGAACUUUUACCCCAAUGGGACUUGCCUCAUAAUUUCCAUUCCCCUCCUAAACACCCCGAGCUGGCCUUGCAGGAAUUCUCGUCUCCAGCACUGGGGUAAGGGAAGCGCGUGUUUUAUCAUUGAUGAUUUUGCUAAAGGCUUAUGCUAGUUCUGAGUAAUGAAAAAAUGUAUUGGAACACAUAGCUGUGCUAAUUUAUAUUUCUCAAGUAGCUUAAAAGGGCUUCUGCUUUUUCCGUAUCUUUACAAACACUAUGUAUUAUCAUUUAAAAAAAUAGCUUUGCCCAUGUGGUAGACAAAAAGUGACAUGAAAUUGUUAUUUUCACUUUCUAAGAUGAAUUAGAAGAGCAAAGCUCAGUUGAGAUGCCAAGAAAGAAGAGGAUAUCCGACUCAGAAGUAUUAGGACAGAUUCAGAUGAACUUCUGUAGGGUCUCCCUUGCUAUCCAUCUAUCUGGACGCUACACUUUUUCCAUCAUAAAGACCUUCACAAAGCCCUCAUGUACCCUGAGGUCUCUCAGCUCAGGACAUCACAUCAGCAUGGCCACCCCAUCCUAGUGUCCAGACCCAAACUACAUACUAAGAAGUGUAAUAAAGCCAGAAAUGUAAUUAUGACACAUCAGGGGAUGAGUUUUGUGCCAGUCUCAACUCUCCCCAAAGUGAUACACAGCUGUCAUUUUUGACAGGUUGAAAGAAAGUAAGAAGUUCUCCAGCCUAGCAGGCUUUUCCAUGCAUCUGGAGCAAGGGGCUUCGGGUCAGCUGCUGUGAUUGCGUGAGAGAAGGACUGAAGUAAUUGCUAGUUCUCGAAAGAAAACCAUUUGGAUGACCGUGGAAGGGGAGCUAACCACUCUCACAGGCAGGAGAGACCCUCAUCUAACAUGAUACAAUAUAAAAGGCACAGAUGCGAUUUAGGGGUAGGAAGACAUGCGUAAUGGUCCUGCCACCCCUUCUCAUCACUGUGCUGCCACUGUACCCUCCGUUUCCUUUAAUAGAGCCUUUGGUGCCUGAUUGUUUCUUGGGUUCUUCAAUAUGGCGAGGACCUCAAGCUUUCCUUAUAGUCAUUCAUUUAUUCAUCCAACAAAUAUGUUUUGAGUGUCCACAUUCUGUGUGCCAGGUUCUAUGUCAGAUACAAUAAACAAAGCAGACAUAGUCCCUUCCUUCAAGCCUGGGUGAUUUUCACUCUUAUGGGGGAAGAACACGGGCUGCGGAAUACACCAAGGAAGAAUACUCAAUCCAGACUAGGGUGGGAGGGCUGUGUUGGCAAAGCCUUCCUGGGAGAAAAACAUAUCAGAACUGGGACCAGAUGGUUUAGUUAGUGACUCUAGUAAAUGCUGGACAAUAAUAGUAAACAAUAGUAGUAGCACUUACUGAAUGCUUUCAUUAUGCUAAGCCCUAUACUGGGCAAUUCCACAGAGCAUCUCCUCUAUGAAGCAGGUUUUAUUAUUAUCACCAUAUGUAAACAAAGAUACCGAUGUGUAGAAAGCUUAGAUGCUUUUUCUAUGGUCCCAAGUAAGAAGCAACAGAACUGGGAGUUGAACUUGUGUAAAAGGAAUAAUAAAAAACGUGCAUUUCUAACCACUGCACUGUGCUGCUAUCCUUUGUGACUUGGGAAAGAUCCUUGCAAAUAAGCCUCAAGGUGUUAUUUGCCAAAGUAGAUGAAGCUGCAUAGCACAAAAACCCAAUCCCAACUAUGCUUACUUUGUAAGAAAGCUGGACGGAGCACUAGGCCACAAACGGUAAGGGGAAUGCAUUUGCCCCUACAGGAUGGUCGGCCCUCUCCCCAGUCACUAACUUUGUUUUCUAUACUGGACCAGGAGAAGAACAGCCCAUAUGAAGGAUGCCCAUGUAGCUCAUUUGUGUAGGAGCAGAUAGCAAGCGUCAGCCUUUUAUCUCCCUGGCUGGGUGUGACUGUGGUGAUAGAGCUGCCUUGGGAAGAUGAGUAGCUAGGAAAGAGGUUCUCAAAUCACUCCUGCUUUAUCGUAAAUGUCUGAGGGCUGUGGCUUUCCAAAUUGAUUGUGGUCCACCCCAGCCAAGUCACCUUCCUACACCUCGCUGAGUGCUCCAGCAUGCUGUGCUGCUGGUCAGAUGUCCAGAAGGCCUCUGCUACUGUCCAGAGAAGUUGGUGCCUCCAUUGGAAGUUGAUGAUUUUCCUUCAGGGGAAACAGACAAAGGACCUGGCAGCUGGGUGAGAAAAGGAGCCAGCAUGUGAUGAACAGGCAUUGUGUUAACUCAAAUUGUACUAUGGAAUGAGCACAUUUUUUUCUCACUCAACAGGAAGUCAUCCCAGGGUAGAGGGAAUCCCAGUUCUGCCACCGUUGGGAAUCACAUGACUCAGGUGGGUCAGGGGAUGGAGAAUGGCUCAAGCAGGGAGUGUCAGGGCUGCUGAACACCUUCCCAAAGAUUGUGCAGGGCUGGGAGGAAGGCCUAGAAGGAUGAGCACAGGUUAGGAGUCAAACAAGUGGGUGUUAAUCCCAUUUCUCUAUUUUUGACUGUGUGGCCUUAGGCCAGUUACUCAGUCUCUGUGUUCAAAAAUAAAGCCCAUUUUAGGGCUGCUCUAAAAAUGAAACAGGAUGAUGUAAAUGAAGUGCUGGGCCCACUCCAGUGCUGGUGCUUUGUCAAUCAUAAUGUUACUCAUAUUCCUAAACUCAUAUUUCGGUAUUGCCUUUUUGAGGUUUUUACAGUUUACGUUUUUAUGAUUGGUAUAAGCCUGUGUGUGUGGCUGAGUGUCUAGGUUUCUUUUGUGAAAGAGGGACUUCCUUUCUUUUUAGAGUUUUCCUUACUCAUGUGGUGAGACUGUUGCAAGAACUAAGGCUCUUAGAAACACCAAGACUUCUAAAACCCUUUUAUUCUUUGUGACAAAGCAAGCAAACUAUGGGAGAGUUUGACAGGGAGAAGGAAAACACAAUGUAGUUUUUACUAAGAAACCAAUGAUUUCCUUUAUUCUCCCUUCUUCUAGAAGGAAAUGUGAAGGUUUCCUUAGUUUCUUCCUUCUGGGUGAAAACCCAAGUACAGAUCUACUGCUCUCUUGGAAAGAAUAAUUCAGGAAAAAACAAAGUAUGUGUGAAACAUAUUUAAAACAAAAGCACUUGUAAAAUCCUUAACAGUCUCAUGAGUUCUCUCCAUUCUUCUCUUCUUUACAGAGGAGACCUUUGUUUUGGAAAGAGAACCCAGUGGGGCAUUGGGAACUAGGUACAGCACGAUGUCUGAAGUCAAUGCUUGCCUAUCUUCUACAGUUAUCUGUGGGCACAAAUUACAACAGCUUACAAAGAACUUCAUGGAGGGCAAUUUAGUGCUCCUAAUGUCCUGCUGACAAUCCUGAGAGGAGGGUCAAUGAGGGAUCCUCUACUUCCUUUUAGAGGCAUUGAAACUGAGGUGUAGAACUUAUGUGCAAUACCCCUGCUCCCCAGCUGGUCAAUACUGGAGCAGCACUAGAUCUGGUUCCUCUGCUGUCUGUCCUUAACUGCCACUGGUUUCUCAAGCUCCGGUUCCGCUUAGAUGCCUAAGGUAUCUAAGGUAUAGGUAUAAGACAGGGCACUGGCAAGAAGGUCUGCUUAUUACUUACAGGAGUUGCCUCCCAGGGAAAGAAAGUGAGCCAAACUGUCAAGGGUGUUUUACAUUUAUAUUGUACUGCUUUAUCCCUUUUGGCAUCAGAGCUUAAGCCAAGGUACUUGGGCAUGGCUGAUCUGGCAUUCAGGUGCCUGAGGAGGCUGGCUUGUCAAAGUGGCUCUCAGAGUGCCCAGUGUUUGAGUCACACCCAACCCAUGGACUGUUUGGCUCAUGUCCUGGGACUUCUUGCCUCCCCUCUUAAAGCAGCAAAAGACAAAAGUGUAAUCACUCUCCAGUGAGCCUGGACCAAAGGCCCAGAGCAGAACAACAAGCCCUGUUUUGCUUCCUCCUGGCAUUAAGAAUCAAGACUGACUUUGUGCGCUGUGCUGCUGAGUGUGGUGUGUGACCUGUGAAAUGAAAAAUCCCUGCUCUGUGCCCAGAGGCUUCCAAUCCUGCUGCCCAGGCUGUUUUCUUUUUAUACCUGCUGGAAAGGAAUCAGAAAAGUCCAACAAGCAAAAAAACAAAAACAAAAACAAAACAAAACAAAACACAAUGACCAAGAUUCAGCAGAAGCUAGGAAGUGUUCUUAAGACGUUUCUACAGCUUUUCCCCUUCCCACCAUGCUUGUCUUGGUUCAUCAGUUCUGAUGUUUAUUUCACUUGCUUGCUGAGCACCUGCUAGAGGCCACCUACAGCAGCUAGAGGACAAGUUUUAGAGUCAGUCAGUAUAAACUAGCUGUGUGAACUUGAGCAGAUAAUCUUCCCCCAAAGUCUUAGUUAGUUAGCUUAUUUGUUAAGUAAUACCAUCAUAAGACUGAGUCAAUUGAUCAGUCACUCAUUCAUUCAUUUAUUCCUUCAUUCACCAAAUAUUUGUUGAGCCUCUACUAUGUGUUUGGCACUAUUAUUAAGUAGUCUGCAUGUAUUUUUAAUUUAAUCAUCAUGACAACCCCAAGUAAGUACCUUUUGCUUUCCUCAUGUUACAGAUGAGGAAACCGUGGCAAAAACAGAUGAAAUAAGUCAUCUGAAGCCAUACAACCAAGAAAUUUCUGGCAAGAACUUCUGGCAGUCUCCUGUUUCCCAGAUGCCCGGCUCCUCACUGACGUGCACAUAACAGCAAAUCUAUAACAAUCCUCCUUCCAAUUACAUCAGGUGGUGGGGGGGGGGGCGCGAGCAGGAGGGCAUAAGAAGGUCAGUACCCUAGAAGGCAGCCUCAUUUACUCAUCCACUAAGAAAAUAAUGACUGAACACCUACCAGGUUCCAGGCACUUGGGAAAAGGCAGUGAGCAAGACUGAUGAAGGCCCCAGCCCGCAAAGCCUCAUAUUCAAAAGCUGGGACAGAGAUGAGAGAAAAGUAAAGAAAUAAACAAGACAUCCUGGAUGGCGAUAAAUGCCAUGAAGAUAAUAAAACAGGGUUAUGUGAUAGAAAAUGGCCAGAAAUGAGGAUAGCAGGUUUGAUGGAGGUCUUUUCAAGAGGACAUGCAAUCAGGACCCAAUCAUGCAAUGAUGUGUGGGAAGAACCUUCCCAUAGGCCGGAGGGAGGGAUGGGCUUGGUUUAUGUGACAAAGGCUAAGUGGCUGUAGCAGAGAGAACUAAGGGAAGAGAAGCAGAGGCUAGAUGAUGGUGAGCCUUAUAAUCGAUUCAAAGACAUUCCAAGUAAGUGCAAAAGGAGGCCAUCAGAGGGGCCCUUGUGGACAUUGCAAUACAAUGUUGAAGUCCAAAAACAAUAGUCUAUUCAUUGACCUACCCUUAUUUCCUAAACUCUAAAUAAUGCUCAAUAAUUUUUUUUUAACCAAUUUACAAAUGGUUUUUUUACUUGUGCCUUCGUUUUGUUUUUGUUUUUUGUUUUGUUUUGUUGUUAUACUUCUAGCGUACAAUGUGCAGGUUUGUUACAUACGUAUACAUGUGCCAUGUUGGUGUGCUGCACCCAUUAACUCAUGAUUUAUAUUAGGUAUAUCUCCUAAUGCUAUCCCUCCCCCCUCCCCCCACCCCACCAUAGGCCCCAGUAUGUGAUGUUCCCCACCCUGUGUCCAAGUGUUCUUAUUUUCACUUCCCACCUGUGAGUGAGAACAUGCGGUAUUUGGUUUUCUGCCCUUGUGAUAGUUUGCUCAGAAUGAUGGUUUCCAGCUUCAUCCAUGUCCCUACAAAGGACAUGAAUUCAUCCUUUUUAUGGCUGCAUAGUAUUCCAUGGUGUAUAUGUGCCACAUUUCCUUAAUCCAGUCUAUCAUUGAUGGACAUUUGGGUUGGUUCCCAGUCUUUGCUAUUGUGAAUAGUGCCGCAAUAAACAUACUUGUGCAUGUGUCUUUAUAGCAGCAUGAUUUAUAAUCCUUUGGGUAUAUACCCAGUAAUGGGAUGGUUGGGUCAAAUGGUAUUUCUAGUUCUAGAUCCUUGAGGAAUUGCCACACUGUCUUCCACAAUGGUUGAACUAGUUUACAGUCCCACCAACAGUGUAAAAGUGUUCCUAUUUCUCCACAUCCUCUCCAGCACCUGUUGUUUCCUGACUUUUUAACGAUCGCCAUUCUAACUGAUGUGAGAUGGUAUCUCAUUGUGGUUUUGAUUUGCAUUUCUCUGAUGGCCAGUGAUGAUGAGCAUUUUUUCAUGUGUUUUUUGGCUGCAUAAAUGUCUUCUUUUGAGAAGUGUCUGUUCAUAUCCUUGUAGAAAAAUUAAUUCAAGAUGGAUUAAAGACUUAAAUGUUAGACCUAAAACCAUAAAAACCCUAGAAGAAAACCUAGGCAAUACCAUUCAGGACACAGGCAUGGGCAAGGACUUCAUGAGUAAAACACCAAAAGCAAUGGCAACAAAAGCCAAAAUUGACAAAUGGAUAUAAUUAAACUAAAGAGCUUCUGCACAGCAAAAGAAACUACCAUCAGAGUGAACAGGCAACCUACAGAAUGGGAGAAAAUUUUUACAAUCUACCCACCUGACAAAGGGCUAAUAUCCAGAAUCUACAAAGAACUUAAACAAAUUUACAAGAAAAAAAUCAAAUAAUUGUUUUUUUCUCCCUCUCUCUUUUUUUCUUUCCUAAUAAUUACUCCAUACCCAGUCUAUUGCAGGUACUGUGCUAGACUUUGGAGACAUGGCAACACACAAAAAUUAAAUUCCUGCUUUUAUGUGGAGACAAACAAUAAACAAACACAUGUAGAAUGUGUUUGGAAAUGUUACACUUUAUGAAGGAAAAACAGAGGAUCAUAAGCAGUGUCAUGCAUGUGUGUAGGCACAGUCUGGCUAUUUUUGGUAGAAGGUCUUUGAGGAGCAAUUGGAGAAAAGACGGGAGAGGAGAGAACCCUAUGAACCCUGUGAACAACCAGGGGAAAAGCAGCCGAGGAUGUGGGGACUGCAAGUCCGAAGCCAGCGGCAGGGAGCAUGCUUGGUGUGUCUGAGAAAGAGCAGCUGGCUUGGGGGAGUGAUGGAGACAUGGGGGUGGCUGACGGUGACCAGGCCAAGUGGGCUUCAUGGGUUUAGGGGAGGAGUUUGGAUUUCACUGUGAGAUGACAAAACCCUGGAGUUGUUGGCAGAGGUGCUAGAACAUUAUUCCAUUUAAGCAUAAAAGGCUCAAUCUGCCUGCUUCACCCAGUGGUGGAGAACAACUGAGUGGAAACAGCUGGAGGAGCCAUGUUCCUGGGAGAAGGGGAGAGGUUUUGGAUCCGGAGCAUGGUGUGAAGAUGAACCAGCAGGAUUUCCCAACAGGGUAGAUGGGGCUGGGAGAUAAGAGGGAGUGAGGGAAAACACCAGCGACAUUGGCCUGAGAGUGUGCAGGAAAAGCCAGUUUGGGAAACCUUGGAGGAACCAGUUUAGUUCUGACCAAGAUGAAUUUGACAUGUCUGUUAGACUUCCAAGUGAAAACAUUGAAGAGGCAGUUGGUUGUAUCAGGCUUGACUUUACAGGAGAAGUGGAGGCUGGGAAUAUAUUAAUAAAUGAAGGAGUUGUCAGCUUAGAGAUUGUAUUAAAAUGCAUAGGACUCAAUGAGAUAUUCUAGGAAACAGGUAUGAAAAGAGAUAAGAAGAAAUGUGUGCGCCGAAUCCUGAGGCAAGAGAUGGAGAGAGAACAGCGAGUGAGGAUAGGGAGGAGAACCAAGACAGCAUGAUGCCCAUACACGAAGGGAAGAAGUAUUUCAUGGAGAAACACCAGCUGUAGCAAAGAAAAGGAAGUUUGGAUCUGCCUGCUCUCCUUCCUCCCUCCCUCCCGCUCCUUUUCUCCCUCUCUCCCUCCCUGCUUCCUUCCUCCUUACUUCCCUCCCUCCCUCUUUUCUUCCCUCCCUUCCUUCUGUUUUUUCCCCCCUCCCUCCCUUCCUUCUGUCUUUCAGUUUCCCGUUAGUCUGAGAUCCUGCAGGAUAGAUAUUUCUGGUGCUCUUCACAGAAUGAAGGGCCUUGGGUUUCCUCCUGAUACCCCACGAUGCAUGCAAAGACAUAGCAGAUAAAGAGAUAAUCAUAAUCUAACCGCAAAAUGCAUCCCUUGCACUCUGUUAUUAUAUUAACAGCGCUGCUGGUACUUUCCUUCUAACUUUUACCCGUGGAGAAUUGAAAAGACACUUGGAGUGAAGGUUCAGAAUCUUCAAAACGUGUACACCAUCAGCAUAAAUGUCUCAUUCUGGAUAAAUCCGCUUCAAUUAUAUAUUUAACUCAGCUGAGAGCUCCCCAAAGAAGGGUUAUUCUGUAUUCACCAGCAAAGUAUUUUUGAUACCCUCAUGGGGACAAUGAUUUGCCAAAAAUUCAUGCAACUUUUUUUAUAUUAAUGCAGGAAAACUUGAAGAUUAUUAAGUCCAUGCUUCUGACAGCCCCUGCAGUUACAAAUAAAAUAGCUAAUGAGAAGAAAAACUGCCCCUACCGGCUUAUUCCCAAAGCCCCAGCCAUCUUUACGCAAGAAUGCUGUGACAAAUGGUACUUUUCACAUUUCUAACAUGCCCCUUCUCCGAUUAUAGAUGUAGAUGGAUAACAUGACCACAAGAGUUAGGCCCCGAAGCAGAUGAUUGCCUCUGGCACCCGCCGUAUGCAAUUCGAGGUGAAAUUUCCAAGAGCCAAAUGAAAUAAUUGCAACAGGGUAAGUCUAACUCUGCCAGUGGAUUUAUAAAAAUUAAAAGGUCUGAGAGGUAAUGCUCAUGAACCCAUUUGUCUCAUUUUUCCUCAUUAAGAUUUAAUUGAAAUGAACUCUGGUAACUGUAAGAAAAGUUACAUUCUUAUUUCAGGCUAGCAUUUUUUAAGCACCAUACUCUCCUUGGGAUCAGUUUGAUGCACUGCUAUUUCACCAUUGAUAUUAGUGCAAACAUACUAGUGAAAUAAAAAAGAAAGGCCAUUUAAUCCUAUCAAAAGAUAGCCAUUUUGCAUUUAAGAAGCACAGGUAUCUACGUUUGAAGGCGCAAUUAAAACAACUUCUGGACGAAUUCUAAAAUGUGAAUUGGCCCCCUACCACGUAAAACUAAUUUAAAGGAAAUGGAAAGUCAAAAUGUUGUCAUUUAAAAUAAUUACCAUAUAUAGAUAGAUAUAGUCCCUCACUUACCUGCCACUUCAACAUAUUGUAUGUAAGAAAUUAAUGUGAAGUGCACUUUUAUGUAAGCAUCAGAGAAUCUGGAAACAUAAAAGUAUGACAGCGGUCUUCAUUUGGGUUUUUCGAGGCUGCUAUUGUGCAUACUGCCACUUACAGCUUGCACAUGGUAUGACAGCACUGGCCACCAGGGUCUUCAGCUCCUUGCCACCCCCUUCCCAUCCACACUGCCAAGGUGAAAAAAUGGUUCUUGCCAAAGUCACUAAAAGCCCUCUCUUUGCCCACCACUGUGUAUGUUCCACACUUCUCAGUGGUAUUUAACCUUGCUGUCCAUGUCAUCCUUUUCAUAUAUAAAACUCCUUCUUGGGUUUCUAGCUCUCUCUUCUCCUGGCGACCUCCUUCAGCUUCUGAUAGCUGCUUAUUGGCCUCCUCCCAGGGUUCUUUAGCUGUCUCUCCCCCAGUGUUGGUCUUGCCCCACUCUUCUGCUCUAGGUCGACUUGCCUCUUCACUCAAGACCUUCUCAGGACAAACUUGUCCAUUGUGGUGGGUUGAAUAAUGUCCUCCCAAAAGAUACACCCAAGUCCUAACUCUGGAAACUGUGAGUGAACACUAUUUGAAAAUAAGGCCUUUGCAGAUAUAAUUAAGGUAGGGAUCUCUAGAUGAUAUAAUACUGGAUUUAGGAUGGACCUUCAAUCCAAUGACAGAUGCUCUUAUAAGAAGGGGAGAGGACAAAGAGAGACACAGAGGAGAGACAGCCGUGUGAAGAGACCCGAGGCAGAAAUUGGAGUUAGGCUCGCACAAGUUCAGGAGUGCCCUCAGUCAUUCUGGAAUGACUGGAAAACAGCAAGUUAAGAGGAUUUCUUAGACCUUCAGAGGGAGCGCAGCCAUUGUGACACCUUGACUUGGGACUUUUGGCCUCCAGAACUUUGCAAGGAUACGUUUCUGUUGAUUUAAACCAUGAGGUGUGGUAAUUUGUUACAGUGGCUGUAGGAAAUGGAUAUAUUCACCCAAAUGAGACCUCCACUCCUACCUUUAAGCCCAAAGACUCCCAAUUUUAGAGCUUCAGCCAGUAUCUUGCUCCUGAGUUUCAGAUGCUUGGUAUCUUGACUGGGAUGUCUUACAGACAGCUCCUUCUCAAGACACACAUCCAGCCUAGGGCUCCUGCCUGCUCCUUAUUGAUUCAGCUGCCAAUGCUGCAGACUGGGGAUUCAUACCACUACUCAAGAACUACUUACACAACCAACCUAGACCCUAAUUAUAGAGGCAGCAGUGGGAGGGAGGGGCCCAGCACCCAGACUCUGAAGCCUAGAUGUUUGGACUUGAAUCUUCAUUUAGGCUUAACUUAUUAUUUGAACUUGGGCCAGUUUUCUGUCUUGUUACCUCAGUUUUCUCAUCUGUAAUACAGGCCAAUAAUAAUACUCACAAAGGGCUGAGAAUACUGCUUGGCACAUAGAAAGUGUGUUUUCUUUAUUUUUAAAUAAAUUUAAAAAUUUACAAACAUUCAUUUGGAACUCUCCUGGUUCUUUUUUUUUGUUUGUUUUUUGUUUUUUUUUCCAGACAGAGUCUUGCUCUGUCACUCAGGCUGGAGUGCAGUGGCGUCAUCUUGGCUCACUGCAACCUCUGCCUCCCAGGUUCAAGGGAUUCUCCUGCCUCGGCCUCCCAAAGUGCUGGGAUUACAGGUGUGAGCCACUGUGCCUGGCCUCAACUUUCCUGGUUCUUGACCCCCAACUCAAGGUUAGCGAGUCCUUGUCCUCAUCUGGGGAUAAAGACACAGGCAUGGAGCAGGUGGCUCUGAAGAGUAUCUCUGUGCCCAUCUGUGCAGUACCUUAGGAGCCCAUGUUCCAUAGUUCACCCUUUGACUCUGAUGAGGCUGCUUUCCUCCAGGUAGUCCCAUAAUAAGAUUCGCCCAAGGCUUCUGAUCCCAAAUCUUUCCUUCAUCUGCAAUGCUCUUCCUCUUUCCACUCAUUCUUUCUCCUCCUCCCACCUUUCUCCUCAAGUUGGACUUAGCUUUGAUACAGCCUCUUCCAGACACUCUCCACUGCCCUGCAAGCUGAAGGGUAAUGAUCUGUUUAUUAUCUGCCUCUUCUAUUAGAUUGUCAGCUCUUCCAAAGCAGAAAUUAUGUUUUAUUCCUAUAUGUACCUUGAAGACUUGGAAUGCAGCCUGCAUAAAGUAGGGGUGCAGGGAAUCUUUGUGAAAUAAAUAACCAUUUGUUUACCAGUUUCUGCAUCCCUCUGGGUGAUGAAUGACAGGGUAAGCCGGAAAAAGAAUCUGGCUACCAAAUUAUAGUCCUAAAGUUCUCCAUUUUAACAAUUAGCUGAAAGCCUUUUGGGAAAUGUAAUAGUCACUCACUAUUUAUAUUCCAACAAAGCACAACACCCUACAGUCUGCUGACUGAUUAUAUGCAGAACACAUUUCACAAGGAAAACAGCAAAGUGUGCUAGUGGCAGAGAUGUGAUCUUAGGGAGGUAAAGGAGAAGGAAUAGGAUUUCUAGAAGAUUAAGAGCAUAGAACAAGACCCCAAGACCUAUGCCUGGAAGCAAAUGAAAAUAUAGAAGCAUGGCGUCUUAUAUGAUUAGGAGGUAUUGGAGUACAAAGAAAGAUUUUAUGCGUUCUGAAACCUGUAGGUCAGUUAUGACCUAGAAUUAUUGAAGGAAUCUGGUGUAGGCCAUUCUCCUGUUCAGAGCUUUUUCUAGAUAUCAUAGAGCUAACAAGUACACAAUUUCUAAGAGACUCUUGCAACCUUAGUGCUGUUUCAAAGUUUUUCCUGGUUUCAUCUGAAUGCCCAGCACACAGCUUUUAGGAGCACUCAGUGGUUUAGUGUUGAUGACAGGUUGACAGAGAAAACCAAGUGUCUUCCAUAUAGGAGACAGUUAACAUGGGAAGUUAUAACUGCAUUAGGGGUCUACUCUUAACAAGACCAACUUCACUGCUCUGGUUAGCAAUUUUCUGAGGAAUGAGUAGGAAAAUAGGAAGAGACUCAAUCUCUCCUUUCAAGCCCCACAUUCAGUCUAUCAGCAAAUACUAUUGAUUCAAUCUUUAAAAUACAUCCAGGAGAACCAUCUCCACUGCAAUUAUGCUGGUCUAAGCCCUCAUCAUCUUCUGUCUGGAUUUUUGCAAUAGUCUCCUGACUGGCCUUCCUAUUUCUCCCCUUAUCCAGCUUCUGUCUAUUCUCAACACAGCAGUGGGGCCUUCCUGCUCAAACUAGGACAGACCAAGGCGCACCUCUGUUGAAAGACCUGCAAUGUUACCCAGAUUAAAAACCCAAGUACUCUCAGUGUAUACUAUCUGCCCCUGGAAAGGAUUAGAGAAGUUACUUCCUCAUGAAAUUGGUGCCAUUAAGCUCAGAUCAGAAGUACGAAUAUAAUAGACUCCCAUGAACAUACCAGUUCUUCUCUGUAAGAGUUACAAAAUAUUUUGCUAAAGGGCAGCAAAAAAUAAAGAAUACAAAAAUUAAUAAAAAUGUUAAUGGCUCUAGUAGGAGGUCUGAAGGCAACCAAAAAUUCAAGUGGUGUGCAAGUCACCUAGACACGUGGGUGAUCACCAGUGUUAGAUGUGUCCUUCUGAGCUUGCCCAAUCUGUAUUUACAGGACUUUGGUACCAAUUGAGUCUUCAGGAAUUCUUAAACAAUGUGAUGUCCUGGGGUGUAUACUGGCUUUGGAAUCAAAGAUCUUACCUAAGUAAGUUAAAUAAACAUGUUAGGCCUCAUUCUCCUUAUCUGUAAGAUGGGAUAGUAAUAUCUACUUUGAAGGAUUGUAUUUAUUCAACCCUCUUCAUUCUGAAUUCUGUUGGCAUAUCACUUUCUGUAGGAAGCCUUCUUAGGUCCUACUAGAAUUAAUCUCCCCAUCUCUGCAGUUUCCUUCCCUAUACCCAAUAAAUCAUUGUGUUUUCUAGCCCAUCUUAUCUGUUUUGCAUGUCUGCCUUCUCAAGACCCUGGGUUCCUGGGUAGCCAAGAGUAGGUCUUAUUCAUCUCUGUAUUCCCAGUACCUAAAAUGAUGACAUUUGUUAGAUAAAUGAAAGAAUGAGCUCUCAGAAGCAAAUGGAGAGUAUAUUUCCUGUGUGAAAGUCAUAAUUUUGUAUUUCCAAGACAUUUUCCCUUAUUACAUUGGUACGUUACAUCAGUAAACUAGAAGAAAAAGAGUAAAGAAGGAAACCAAUAAUGAGAAACCAUUUGAUAUUAAGAUUGGUGAAAAUUCCAAUACCAAGUGUUGACAAGAAUGGGCAUGAUGAGGACCCACAUGUGCUUUUGGUGGGAGUGCAAAUUGGCACAAGCCUUUUGGAAAACAAAGCUUCAGAUGCACGUGGCAUUUUGGCAAAUAAUUCUACUCCUGGAUCUGUGCCUUUGAGGAAUUUGGCACACAUAAACAAGGAGACUUGUACAAGGGUGUUUAUAGUAGCACAGUUUAUAAUAGCAAUAAAAUUGGAAACUACCUGUAUGUCCACCAGUGGGAAAACAAAUACAUAAAUGUUUGCAUAUUCCUAUAAUACAACUCCUUGCUGUACUUAAAUGAAUAAAAGCAACAGGGAUUUAUGUAAAUACACCUUAAAAUCAUACUGCUGAAGAAAAGACGAAAGUUGGAAAAGACUUGAACUUUUUUGUACACCAUUUACAUUAAGUUAAAAAUCAGAUAAUAAAUAGAAAUUCAUAUAUUAUUUCUGAAUGUAUACAUGCAUAAUUAUGCAUCAAAUGAUGCAAGUAAUGGUAAUUAUAAGAUUCUGAAUGGUGGUUACUCUGGGGAAUGAGAAGAGUAAAAUGGAAUUUAGGAGGGUCGAUUGAGGUUGUAAUGUGGUUAUUUCACAAAUAAAAAGACUCAAGUAUUCCAAAA